AGAGAGGUGGCCGAGUGGUUUAAGGCGCGCGCUUGGAAAGCGUGUAUUCUGAGAAAUUGGAAUCGAGGGUUCGAAUCCCUUCCUCUCUGCUA
rnacentral:tRNA from 2 species